GUCCUUUAGUUAAAAAUAAUUUAAGGUCUAACCUGCCCAUUGAUUUAAUUAAAAGGCCGCAGUAAUUUGACUGUGCAAAGGUAGCAUAAUCAUUAGUUUUUUAAUUAAAAGCUUGUAUGAAUGGUUGGACGAGAUAAAAUCUGUCUCUUUAUAAAAAAUAGAAUUUAAUUUUUAAGUUAAAAAGCUUAAAUUUAAAUAAAAGACGAGAAGACCCUAUAGAUCUUUAUAUAAUUUUUUUUAGUAUUAAUAAAGAAAUUUUUAUUUAUUAAUUAAAUUUAUAUUUUAUUGGGGUAAUAACAAGAUUAAAAAAAUUCUUAAAUAUUAAACAAAAAUUAUUGGUUAAAUGAUCCAUUAUUAAUGAUUAUAAGAUUAAGUUACCUUAGGGAUAACAGCGUAAUUUUUUUAAAGAGUUCUUAUCAAUAAAAAAGUUUGCGACCUCGAUGUUGGAUUAAAAUUAAUUCUGGGUGCAGAAGUUCAGAAUUUUGGUCUGUUCGACCAUUAAAUUUUU
rnacentral:rRNA from 1 species